rnacentral:rRNA from 1 species
GUGUCAGCCGCCGCGGUAAUACGUAGGUUGCGAGCGUUGUCCGGAUUUACUGGGCGUAAAGCGCGCGCAGGUGGUCCUGAAAGUCGAGCGUGAAAGCUCCCGGCCCAACUGGGAGAGGCCGUUCGAAACUUCAGGACUUGAAGGCGGGAGAGGCAAAUGGAAUUUCCGGUGUAGCGGUAAAAUGCGUAGAUACCGGAAGGAACACCAGUGGCGAAAGCGAUUUGCUGGCCCGCCCUUGACACUCAGGCGCGAAAGCUAGGGGAGCGACCGGGAUUAGAUACCCCGUUAGUCCUAGCCGUAAACAAUGGGCACUAGGUGUUGUCGGUAUCGACCCCGGCAGUGCCGAAGCUAACGCAUUAAGUGCCCCGCCUGGGGAGUACGACCGCAAGGUUAAA